CCUACGGGUGGCAGCAGUGGGGAAUAUUGGACAAUGGGGGGAACCCUGAUCCAGCGACACCGCGUGAGUGAAGAAGUAUUUCGGUACGUAAAGCUCUAUCAGCAGGGAAGAAAAUGACGGUACCUGACUAAGAAGCCCCUGCUAACUACGCGCCAGCAGCCGCGGUAUUACGUCGGGGGCAAGCGUUAUCCGGAUUUACUGGGUGUAAAGGGAGCGUAGACGGUGCAGCAAGUCUGAUGUGAAAGGUGGGGGCCGAACCCCGGGACGGCAUUGGAAACUGUUGAACUGGAGUGCAGGAGAGGUAAGCGGAAUGCCUAGUGUAGCGGUGAAAUGCGUAGAUAUUAGGAGGAACACCAGUGGCGAAGGCGGCUUACUGGACUGUAACUGACGUUGAGGCUCGAAAGCGUGGGGAGCAAACAGGAUUAGAUACCCCAGUAGUG
rnacentral:rRNA from 1 species